UUACUUCCUGUACCUCUCCACUUCCAACCUCUACCCCCACAAUUUUUUUGAUUUUUUUUAAAAAUACGAAAAUAACCUUUCUUUAUUUAUUGUUUUUACCUUUUUAACCCUAUUUAUUAAAGUUAACCUAAGUUAUUCUCUCCUUUCAAUCACUUCAGUCAAACACACAUUCCCAGAUUCCCACCCCCCUCCCACCAAGUUAACUCUUCAACUUUUCAAAAACUUUUCAUUUUGAAAAACUCUUCAUUCUCCCAGUUCUCUUCGUUGGCGUGGUGGUGGUUUUGGCUUUUGGUGUGUGCGGCCAGUGUGUGCGGCAGUGCGGCGCGGCGUGGCGGUGUGUGCGGCGGUGCGGUGGGUGGUGGUGCGGCGGUGCGGCGCGGUGGUUCUCGAGAGGUUAGUUUUCCUUUCGUUCUUUUUUUUAAAUGUAUGCAAUAUAAUGUUUAGGAUUUGGUUGAUUUCUGCUGUUGUUGGUUUCUGUGUGGUUUGCUGUUGAGGUUUCUGUGUGCGUUGUGUGCAGGGGAAGAAGACGUCCACGCCCUGAAACGGAUGUCGUACAUCUAUUUGGCCCUGAAAUGGAUGUCGACAUCCGUCGAUGAAUGUCGAUAUCCGUCUCGCCUCGCCUAGCCGCUUUUUAACAGGUUAAAGGUCCGAGCACCAGGACUUGAUAUCUCACUUGUAUCACAAUCACCACUUGAACAACAAUCACCAAUUGAACGAGAGUGAGGAGAGAAAAAAUUUCUGAAAGAAUAGGAGAAAGAAUUUUGAGGGGGUGAAGGAUGAAAGCAUGAAAAUAAAAAGUAAAUUUUUACUAAAGGAUAAAAUUGGAAUAAAAAAAAUAGAGUAAAGGGUAAAAAUGUAAGGGGGAGGUGUAGGGAGCAAGUGGGGAGGUACAGGGAGUAACUCCC
rnacentral:lncRNA from 1 species